UGCCAGCCGCCGCGGUAAUACGAAGGGGGCAAGCGUUGUUCGGAUUUACUGGGCGUAAAGGGCGCGCAGGCGGACUAAUAAGUCGACUGUGAAAUCUGUGGGCUCAACCUACAGCCUGCAGUCGAAACUAUUAAUCUUGAGUAUGGAAGAGGAAAGUGGAAUCUCUGGUGUAGCGGUGAAAUGCGUAGAUAUCAGAGAGAACACCGGUGGCGAAGGCGGCUUUCUGGUCUAAUACUGACGCUGCGGCGCGAAAGCUAGGGGAGCGAACGGGAUUAGAUA
rnacentral:rRNA from 1 species